rnacentral:rRNA from 1 species
CCCUUAGAUGUCCUGGGCCGCACGCGCGCUACACUGAUGCAUGCAACGAGUUUAUAACCGUGGCCUGAAAGGUCUGGGUAAUCUUUUGAACGUGCAUCGUGAUAGGGAUAGAUUAUUGCAAUUGUUAAUCUUGAACGAGGAAUUCCUAGUAAACGCGAGUCAUCAGCUCGCAUUGAUUACGUCCCUGCCCUUUGUACACACCGCCCGUCGCACCUACCGAUUGAAUGGUUCGGUGAAGAUCUCGGACUUCGAUAUUUAUUCUUUAUUGAGUUUAUAUUGUGGGAAGUUAUCUAAACCUCAUCAUUUAGAGGAAGGUGAAGUCGUAACA